UAGUUGGUGAGGUAACGGCUCACCAAGGCGACGAUCAGUAGCUGGUCUGAGAGGAUGAUCAGCCACAUUGGGACUGAGACACGGCCCAAACUCCUACGGGAGGCAGCAGUGGGGAAUAUUGGACAAUGGGCGCAAGCCUGAUCCAGCCAUGCCGCGUGAGUGAUGAAGGCCCUAGGGUUGUAAAGCUCUUUUGUGCGGGAAGAUAAUGACGGUACCGCAAGAAUAAGCCCCGGCUAACUUCGUGCCAGCAGCCGCGGUAAUACGUAGGGGGCAAGCGUUGUCCGGAUUUAUUGGGCGUAAAGAGCGUGUAGGCGGCCAGAUAGGUCUGCUGUGAAAUUUCGAGGCUUAACCUCGAGAGGUCGGCGGAAACCAUUUGGCUAGAGUCCGGAAGAGGAGAGCGGAAUUCCUGGUGUAGCGGUGAAAUGCGCAGAUAUCAGGAAGAACACCCGUGGCGAAGGCGGCUCUCUGGGACGGUACUGACGCUGAGACGCGAAAGCGUGGGGAGCGAACAGGAUUAGAUACCCUGGUAGUCCACGCCGUAAACGAUGGGUGCUAGGUGUGGGCGGUGUCGACUCCGUCUGUGCCGAAGCUAACGCAUUAAGCACCCCGCCUGGGGAGUACGGCCGCAAGGCUAAAACUCAAAGGAAUUGACG
rnacentral:rRNA from 1 species